rnacentral:rRNA from 1 species
UACAUGGGGUGCAAACGUUGCUCGGAAUUAUUGGGCGUAAAGCGCGCGUAGGCGGUUAUCUAAGUCAGGGGUGAAAUCCUGGAGCUCAACUCCAGAACUGCCUUUGAUACUGAGGAUCUUGAGUUCGGGAGAGGUGAGUGGAACUGCGAGUGUAGAGGUGAAAUUCGUAGAUAUUCGCAAGAACACCAGUGGCGAAGGCGGCUCACUGGCCCGAUACUGACGCUGAGGCACGAAAGCGUGGGGAGCAAACAGG